CCUACGGGCGGCAGCAGUGGGGAAUAUUGCACAAUGGGGGGAACCCUGAUGCAGCGACGCCGCGUGAGUGAAGAAGUAUUUCGGUAUGUAAAGCUCUAUCAGCAGGGAAGAAAAUGACGGUACCUGAAAAAGAAGCUCCGGCUAAAUACGUGCCAGCAGCCGCGGUAAUACGUAUGGAGCAAGCGUUAUCCGGAUUUACUGGGUGGAAAGGGAGAGUAGGUGGCAGAGCAAGUCCGAAGUGAAAACCCAAAGCUCAACUAUGGGAAUGCUUUAGAAACUGCUCAGCUAGAGUGCAGGGGAGGCAAGGUGAAUUCUUAGUGUAGCGGGGAAAAUCGGUGAUAUUAGGAGGAACACC
rnacentral:rRNA from 1 species